rnacentral:rRNA from 1 species
UACGGGGGGGGCAAGCGUUGUCCGGAAUCAUUGGGCGUAAAGAGCGUGUAGGCGGCCUGAUAAGUCGGUUGUGAAAGUCAAGGGCUCAACCCUUGAAUGCCGACCGAUACUGUCAGGCUAGAGUCCGGAAGAGGCGAGUGGAAUUCCUGGUGUAGCGGUGAAAUGCGCAGAUAUCAGGAAGAACACCCGUGGCUAAGGCGGUUCUCUAGUACGGUACUGACGCUGAGACGCGAAAGCGUGGGGAGCGAACAGG